rnacentral:rRNA from 1 species
AUUGAACGCUGGCGGCAGGCUUAACACAUGCAAGUCGAGCGGAGAUGAGGUGCUUGCACCUUAUCUUAGCGGCGGACGGGUGAGUAAUGCUUAGGAAUCUGCCUAUUAGUGGGGGACAACAUUCCGAAAGGAAUGCUAAUACCGCAUACGUCCUACGGGAGAAAGCAGGGGAUCUUCGGACCUUGCGCUAAUAGAUGAGCCUAAGUCGGAUUAGCUAGUUGGUGGGGUAAAGGCCUACCAAGGCGACGAUCUGUAGCGGGUCUGAGAGGAUGAUCCGCCACACUGGGACUGAGACACGGCCCAGACUCCUACGGGAGGCAGCAGUGGGGAAUAUUGGACAAUGGGGGGAACCCUGAUCCAGCCAUGCCGCGUGUGUGAAGAAGGCCUUAUGGUUGUAAAGCACUUUAAGCGAGGAGGAGGCUCUUAAGGUUAAUACCCUUGAUGAGUGGACGUUACUCGCAGAAUAAGCACCGGCUAACUCUGUGCCAGCAGCCGCCGUAACAC